rnacentral:rRNA from 1 species
UGGGGAAUAUUGCACAAUGGGGGAAACCCUGAUGCAGCGACGCCGCGUGAGCGAAGAAGGCUUUCGAGUCGUAAAGCUCUGUCCUAUGAGAAGAUAAUGACGGUAUCAUAGGAGGAAGCCCUGGCUAAAUACGUGCCAGCAGCCGCGGUAAUACGUAUGGGGCGAGCGUUGUCCGGAAUCAUUGGGCGUAAAGGGUACGUAGGCGGAUAAGCAAGUUAGAAGUGAAAUCCUAUAGCUCAACUAUAGUAAGCUUUUAAAACUGCUCAUCUUGAGGUAUGGAAGGGAAAGUGGAAUUCCUAGUGUAGCGGUGAAAUGCGCAGAUAUUAGGAGGAAUACCGGUGGCGAAGGCGACUUUCUGGCCAUAAACUGACGCUGAGGUACGAAAGCGUGGGUAGCAAACAGG